GGGGGGUGGUGGUGGUCUGCGCAUCUGUAAAAACAAAGUAUCAUAAUCCUUGACCCUAAUGUCAAGGCUGAGAUGUUGUCUUGGUUUGUAUAAAUAAUAAAUGCUGUCUUGCAGUCUCAUGGUCAGUCAUAAAGUCAGUGUAGGAUCUCUCUGAUACGUUUACCUGUCCAUAACUGGGUAUAUAGUUCCUUGAUCCUGUAUAGAAAAUCAAAUUCUCUCAUUGAUCUCA